rnacentral:lncRNA from 1 species
ACUAUGAAAGAUUAAAAAAAAUGAAAAUCUUUAGCUAAAACGACGGCGCAGUAUAAUUAAGCAAACCAGAACUGAUUCACCACACAAUGAUGAUUAGAAGAAACUGCUUAUCUGUAUGCCUUAAUUCUAAGAACAGGAAGAAAAAAAUACUUUGACAUAUGGUCAUACUCUCAUAUAUAGACAUUGUCAAAAAGUUAAGAAAUUUAAUGAUGUGAUCAUUGAUAGUCUAUAUUGAAAAACCAAUGGGCUAACAAAAUAUAGAUAUAAUAAUGAUUUUUUAAUCAAGUCUUGUGGAAAAUAGAAUGAAGAUGUAAUUGAUGGUAGCUGGGUGGAUUAGUAUAAUUGCAUAAAGCAAAUAUUUGUGUGGGGUAAUUUGGUUUAAAAAUAACUGAAGUGGAAGUAGUUGAUGGAGGGUUUUCCCUUUAUGACUUAGAAACAUCAGGUAAAGAAAAUUGUUGGAGGGUCCCAUAGCACUCAAAUAUUGCUGUUACAUCUGCAUUAUCUUUCUCAUUUUCUUUCUGUAUUUUCUUUUGUUCUAGACCGGUUAGAAGUCCGUGACAGAAGGCCUUAGAGGGCGCACACCUAGAGGAAUCAGAGAAAACACGACGAGGGAGCACACUAAGCUCUAUGAAGACAACCGCAUAGACACACGCCCCAACUCCCUCUCGGCCGUCCAGAUCAUCACCAACGAUCUUCUCCAUUCACGCCGUAUAUCAUGGAGGCAGCAAUGCGUCUUCGUGCCUAUAUAAGGGUGAUUCCUCGUUUACUCUCAACUCUCAAGGUAAACUUUACUUUUAUCACAUCCUACACUUAACCGUCUAUUUAAGAUUUUUACUUGAGCGUUGGAGUGUUAACGUGU